GGCAUAUUGUCAUAUCUAUAAUACUAAAAUUACGAGGUCCAAUUUGUCGGCCGUCAUCACGUAAAAACGAUGAAUCAAAGAAUUCAACUUUAUAUAUAACUAAUAUAGUACAAUGGUGUUGAUUAAAAAUUACACCACUCUAGGGCCGUUUGUUUUCCACGUAAUUAAUAUUGCCAAUAAUUAAGAAGUUCCGGAUCGAGUCCGACACCGAUACCAAUAGUAUAUUCACCUGUUACCUAUUACCUUAUCUGUACGUUCCGCAUCUGACAGGCGCACCAACAAACAGUGUAUUUAGAAUUUUGCUGUAUACUGUUGAGUAAAAAAUACUCCAUUCCAGGUCCUUUUGUUUUCCAAAUUAUUAAUAUUACCAAUAAUUGAU
rnacentral:lncRNA from 1 species